GACAAUUUAGUCUCAAGAAUUGCAGAAAUUGCAGCACUCAGUUCCUUAUUGGUACCAGGGUUAAGGCCACCAAUGGAAACCAAUUCGCCAUAGGCUGCUGGCUGCUCAGUCCCACCAAAAGCAAUCGGUACUGAACCCUUCAACACGAUCAUCACAUACUGCAUAUUGGCAUCACAAAACAGUUAAAAACUAAUAAUUGUAAUUUUAAAAAAUAUAAAAAAAAUAUAAAGCUAACAACCACAUGCACUCCCUUUCAUUUUUUAAGAAAAUAAGAAAAGGAAAAAAUAAUAAUAGGGCUAAAUACAAAUGCUAUUACCCACACUGGAGGAAUUCGUGGUUUUAGGUUUUAGUCUAAACAAACAUGAUGGUGUUUGGCUGCCAGGGAACUAAUUUUCCAGUUAAAUAAUUGACACACAACUGGUCUUCGCUUGGAAUGGUAUGGCUUAAUCUACUUUACACACGGGAUUUGAGAGGAAAAAAAAAUUCAUCUACAGUGGGACCAUAAAAGAAAAUCGGAGCUAUCUCCAAUUCACUGCGAUUGCCCCUACGAAUCAGUUUUGCAAUUUCAAGAAAUGCCAGAAUUACAAGAGUUUUAUCUACAUUGUCUCCGAGUUUGAUGCACAGACAAAGGCAAGCUCUAUUAUAAACUAAGAACCAACCACUCCGGGUUUGGAUCGCUCUUCACUAGCAAGAAAGAAAAACCAGCAAAGCAUGAACAUUAAGGUAGAUCCCCAUCAUCAAACUCCCUUUCAGCAAAUUCAAUGCGCUCUAAAUAACAAACAAUGUUAGAUAUAAAUCAGGGUAAUCACAAACUUUGCAUCAAGAUUAAAGGUAAUAGAAAUUUCUUCUAAGCAAAAUACAUCCAAAUUUAGCUAUCCAUCCAGACAAAUAUUGGGGAAUCGAUUAGGUCAAGCGAUUGCGGAGAAAACCGAAGAAAAUAAAAGAUAUUAAAACUUUAAACAUCACAAAUUAUGUAGAGUCUUGGUUCCGAAGAAGAGUCUCAAAGAAUCCAGAUAAUUUGUCGGCUUCAUAUAGGUAAGCAUUUCUAUUUUCUGUAUCCCAAACAGUGAAAAGAAAAUCUAAAAAUCUUAGUCACUCCAUCUCCCAACGCUUUUGGGGAGCAAGCAAAAGGACGAUAGAAAAAAUCAAGUUAGUGAAAAAACUGAGAUUAAAAACAUGUAAAGCAUAAGAAAGUGGAUGUGAAAAGAAAGGAAGAUAGAGGUUACAGCUUCAGGUUUGCCAAUGAUCUUGGCAACGGUAGAGGUGGCCUCAGAGAGGAUGGAAGAGGUGUCUACGCCGUCCAGGCUCACGUUAGUGGACAGGUUCAGGCAAGGCAUCUUCGCUCUAUCACUCUUUGCUCUGCUCUGCAAAACCCUAGUUGCUUCCCUUGUCUCUCUCUCUCUCUUUCUCCUGUCCACCUAUAGCGGUUCCCUUGGGAUUGAAUCUUUUUGCCCAAAAUGCCCUCUAGGUGUGUUUGUUAACACCUCGGAAAGAAGACUGAGGAAAUAUAAAAUAUGUUAUAAAUAUAUGGUUAUUGUUUUUGAACACAUAAUUAUCCAUGAUAAUUUUUACUUUUCUAGUAAAUAAUUAAAUAUUAAAUUUAAUUUUGAUUUUUUUAUAACUCAAAAUUCUUUUAUAACUCUAUUUCUUCUUUAUUAUUCAUUUUAUUUAUAACGCCUUAUCAAUACUAACACCUUAACCCACUUGGAACCAAAAAAAUUCUUUCAACGCAUCAUUCAAAGAUACACUACAAAGUUUUAUAUUAUUUUAUCAUUUCCAAAAAUAUUUUGUUCUUCUACCUUAUAUAUAAUAUUUGAAUUAUAUUAUAUUUUUUCGCUUGAAAAUGUUGAUAUUUUAAUUUUGUACAACCUAAAGGUGCCAAAUGGGAGCGGGCCUUUAUGGGUCGACAAAACCUAUUUAAAAAUUGUGUUGUGUCAUGCUAAUCCAUGUAAACCAAAUAGUUGACCCAACACAGAUCAUGAGCUUAUGGGCCAAUCGUGUCGGUAUGCCAUGCUAGGGGCCAUAUUGGUGGGCCAUGUUAAUAGGUUGUGCUGAUGGGCAUGUUGAUAUGUCAUUCACUUUAUCAAAAUUUUUAAUUUACUUUUUGAAGUCAUUUUGUCUUAACUUUUUCACUAUUAAAUAAAAUCUCUUUUUACUACUUUAAACAUAUCUAAUGCCGACUAAGCAUGCACCCUCACUAGUCCAAAGAUAGGAACGGAGAAAUCCAAGGUAUUCUCUACAAAAUGACUUUCCAAAAAGUGGAAACAAACCUAUCAAACUCCAAUGAACCAAUAGGUAAGUCUAACAAAUCGACAAAUGAUGCAAAAAUGAAUGAAUAAGUAGCUCCUAGCUAAAAUAGAACUCCAUCUCACUAGAAAUGAAAUUGAAUAAUACUUAUGACAACAUCUAACAAAGCCUAAGCAUUCUAGUAUGUCAUGGAAAAUACUCUUCCUUAGGCUUUUAGCUUAUGUGUUGUUUAUUUUUUAAAAUUUUUGUUGAAAGCAAGUUGCUUUCAAAUUUUAAAUUGUUUAUUUUUUCAAUUUUUGUUAACACGUUACUUUUUUUUAAAAAAAAAAAUUACUAAAUAGAUAAUGUCAAAAUAUUUAGUUUUUUUUUUAAAUGCUAAAAAUAAUGUGUUGGUUUUUUUUCUUUCUUAAUAUUUAAUGGAAAUAAAAUAUUUAAAAAAAACAUUUAACUUAAUACUUAACAGUAAUAACCAUUAUUUUGUUUUAAGUUCUAUUUAGAAUUUUAAGAAGAAAAAAAACACCACCUUAGACUUGUAGGGAACCUCAAAUUACUUCAUUUUCAUACCCAAGAUCAUUAUGAUGCAUAAAAUUCUAUCAUAAGCUCUCUAGAUCUUAUCACAACAAAAACAUAAUAGGACCACAUUUCUAGAUAUUAGUGUCAUAGUUGUGAUUUAGAUGUUCUUAUACCAAUUCCUAUUAGUGUAAAAAGAUCCAAAACUCCAAAAGAUCUCUUAAACACAAUGGUUUUUCACCCUAAUGACUCAUUCUUGAGUCUAGGCAUCGAGACUAUAGAGAUCUCAUAGAGAGUGGAGGUUAAGGUUCUCUCUCUCUCUAAGUAGAUAGGAAACCAAAACUAAAGUCUUAACCUCUAAGAAGGUAUUUAUAUACUUCUUACUGGGCUUAAGUGACUUAAUUGAUUAAUUAGUUCAAUUGGACACUAAUUAAUCAAGUAGCCUAAUCUAGAGAUAUCAUUCACUUACCUUUGUAUAACCUUGUGUGAUUAACAAAACACCUUUUUUGCACAUAAGUAAACCAAAAACCAAUCCAAUCCUCAUAAAUUGUGUCAUCAAGGUCUGAGCUUGAUCAACCCCUGAGACUCAUAGGAUGAUAUCAGUUCCUUUGGAAUUCAAUUUUGAAGUUGACUCAACAUCCUAAUACAAAGAGUUAGCUACACUUCAGUACUUUAUGUAUAUUACAAUGAAACACUAAGUGUUCGAGUUUGCAACCUACUAUUCACUGUGUAUAGUCUCCCCAUGAAUUGAUGUUCAUAAUCUAAUAAGGUAAAAGCUAUCAAUUUCUCAACAUUGUCUCUAUCAUCCUUUAGUUACAUAUUUUUCUAUUAUGUGAUUAAAUGACAUACUUUAACUCACUAAAAGUAUAUGUCAAAUUUCAUUAAAAUAAUUAUUGUGGCGUCACAGAUUUCAUGAUCAUAUAUCCUUAGGAUCACCUAAGAUGACAUAUUGUCUCAAAGUCCAUGAAAUAUCAUGGUGUUUUUAUUGAGAAUAUAUAUUACUAUUGGCUUCUAUCAACAGUAACCUCAAUAUAUAAGGAAUAUAUUAUUAUUUUCGAUAUUUUUAAAACUAAAUUGGUUAUUAAACUAGAAAAGUUAUCAAUUCAUAAUUCAAUGGUCAGACUGGUAGUUGAAUUAUGAUCAAAUCAAUGAUAUCAUAAAUAUAUAAUUUAUUUUAUUAAAAUUUAAAAUAAUUAAAAAAAAUUAAAUAUAUAUAAUUCAAAUUUUAAAUAACAUUUCAUUUUGUAUAUUUGAUACAUUAAAUUAAAUAAUAAAGAUAAAUAUAAAUGUGUAAUAUAUUAAAUUUUAUUAAAUAAAAUAUGUAUAAUAUUUAAAUAUGAAGAUAUAUUUAAGAUGACAAAAAAUUAUAAUAUUUAAUUUUAUGUACAUAUCUAUGUAUUUUAUUAUUUUAAAAAAUUUUAAUUAUUAUAUUAAUUAAUUUAUAAUAUUUUCAUACUUAUCAUUAAUAACUAUUAUUAAUAUAUAAAACCUUACCAUAUAAUUUUACAAAGGAAGUGUAUAGCAUGGUGGUCAUGCACUUGUUUUUGUCACUCAUGGGUCCACGACUUGAGUCCCUACUUAUGCAGAUUGUCUUUCCUUAUAUUAUAGCCAAUCUCACAUUGAAAUGUUAUGAAUUCCAUGUAUAAUAUAAAUCUCUUACCUGUACAAUACUAGUUCAAGUUGAAGGUGGUUGGGUUGGAGGGCUUAGUUGUUAAAAUAAAUUCAGCUAAAUGAAAAGUAAACCUAAUAUUGUUUUGGUCAAAACAAUAGUUGACUGGUUCAUAAGAAAUCGGUUAGUUCAUUUGGUUCGAUAACAAUCCAACCCAUAAAUGGUCCACGACACCUAAUCAGACCAAAGAGUUCAUCGGUCGACGGUUCGAUCGGUCAAUCCAGUCUGGUUUUUAAAAUAUUGAUUAUUUUAUGAUUUUACCAGUAAAUCAAAGUCACUACUAAUUUAGGUACAAACUCAAUAAUCUCUCAAGGUUAAGAGAUACUUAAUCAUAACAACUUGGUAAAGUCAUGACAAUUACACAUUAGACAAAACCCAUAAUAAAUCAUGAUAACCUUACAUCAUGAUUUAUUAUGGGUUUUGUCUAAUGUGUAAUUGUAUCCACAAGUACACUCACCAUUAAAACCCUAUCCCGAUGGCCAAGACCAAUCAUCCAUUCAAUUAGGAGGUGAUACAUUGCAACCUCAAAUGGAUUGUCUAAAUCCAUGAACAGACUAUGAACAAAUUAUCUACU
rnacentral:lncRNA from 1 species